UACGGAGGAUGCAAGCGUUAUCCGGAUUUAUUGGGUUUAAAGGGUGCGCAGGUUGUUUGAUAAGUCAGUGGUGAAAGUCUGUCGCUUAACGGUAGGAUUGCCAUUGAUACUGUUGGACUUGAAUAUGGAUGAGGUAGGCGGAAUGUGUAGUGUAGCGGUGAAAUGCUUAGAUAUUACACAGAACACCAAUUGCGUAGGCAGCUUACUGAGCCGACACUGACGCUGAGGCACGAAAGCGUGGGGAUCGAACAGGAUUA
rnacentral:rRNA from 1 species